CAGCAGACCCAGAGCAUCCUCCUCCCCUUCCCUCUCCUCCUGCCCCUCCUCCUCUUCCUCGCUGCCCCACCCACCCCGCCCCAACCACCACCCGCCUCCCCUUGGCUUCCAGCUCAGCAGAAAAGAAAGCUUGACUCUGUCGCAGCACACACCUGUGCCCUGAUCAUGAUAGAGAAGACCAUAUGGCAUGGUGUGAAGAAUGUGAACUCUGGUUUCAGACUACCUAGCUGGUUGAAUACCUCCUGGAGAAGAAAAAAAGAAAAAAGAGGCUUUUCUUUAUUUACCUCACCCUGCCCUACCACCCACCCUGAAAAAGGCUUUUUGUCACUGACCAUGUUUCCCUAGAAGGUGCUGAGGUGAACAGAAAAAUAUUCUUGAGUAGCAUCUCCAAUAAAACAAAAGCUAAAUCACAUUUCUACCACAAGAGGGAAUCCAUUUUAUCAAGGACCGAACCAAAUAACUAGCAUUUCAACAGGGAAUUCGUUGCAGAAACCAUGAACAUUAUAUCUGAACUUUUGGGAUGUUAAAAAAAAAACUACAGGACUUUUGCUUCUGGGAAGAGCAAGCAGACAUGCUUCUCCCUGUUCCUCUAAGCACAACAAAACCCUGGGACGUUAUACACAAAACAGACAUAGGAAGAUUCUGAAAGGUGGAGAGAAGACAGGCUGGCCAGGGGCCCUGGGGCCUGAGCAACAAUAUGGUGGUGAGUUCCCUUAUCUGUUUUCAUUUUUUUAACCUCAUGUUAUCCCAGACCUGGAGCUAAUGAAGCCAGCAACCCGGAAAUGCCAAAAGGCACAGACAAAAAAGGCCCCCUUGAAAACCUGCUGUCUCUAGCCAAGGAUGAAGACAAGAGCAGCCUAACAAGGCAGAAAACAUUCAGACAAUGACUGCUCUGCUCCUGCCAGACACUGGGGAAAACUGGCCCGUCCAGCAGAGGCCGAGCGAGGCCCAGACUUUCUCCCUUGCCAGGCUAUGAUGAGGGGCCCCUCCUCCUUCCUGCCGAGGAGGCCAAGAGCUCAGACUUUCAUUCCUCCUACCUGCUAGGCAGUACCGAGGCCUGAAAUUCUACCUCCACCUGGGUUCACUCCCACUUCCUGCUGGAUGGAUCAGAGGAGGCCCAACAGAGGGUUAGGAUUUCACCACUGCGCAGUGACAAGGGCUUCCCAGGGGGCUCAGCGGUAAACGAAUCCACCUGCCAAAGCGGGAGACACAGAAGAUGCGGGCUCAAUCCCUGAGUGGGGAAGAUCCCUUGGAGAAGAAAAUG
ensembl:lncRNA